rnacentral:rRNA from 1 species
GACGAACGCUGGCGGCGUGCUUAACACAUGCAAGUCGAACGCUGAAGACCUGGCUUUUGUUGGGUUGGAUGAGUGGCGAACGGGUGAGUAACACGUGAGUAACCUGCCCUCUUCUUUGGGAUGACGCCCGGAAACGGGUGCUAAUACUGGAUAUUCACUGAUCUUCGCAUGGGGGUUGGUGGAAAGGUUUGUUCUGGUGGGGGAUGGGCUCGCGGCCUAUCAGCUUGUUGGUGGGGUGAUGGCCUACCAAGGCUUUGACGGGUAGCCGGCCUGAGAGGGUGACCGGUCACAUUGGGACUGAGAUACGGCCCAGACUCCUACGGGAGGCAGCAGUGGGGAAUAUUGCACAAUGGGCGAAAGCCUGAUGCAGCGACGCCGCGUGAGGGAUGGAGGCCUUCGGGUUGUAAACCUCUUUCGCUCAUGGUCAAGCCGCAACUGUGGGUUGUGGUGAGGGUAGUGGGUAAAGAAGCGCCGGCUAACUACGUG